AGACGGAUGAAGCCAAAGGAGGCUUUCUUCUAGAAGAAAACAACUCUGAGCACAGAGAGAAAGGGAUGCUGGGAACUCUGGUAGGACAACAGGCUGGCUCUGGUUUGGUAGGUGCUCAGUUUCCCUCACUUAUUUUCUCUACCUGCAUUUUCAUUCCUUUUGACUUCUGCCUGCCAGACAGCACAUGAGAGAGCCAUAUAACCAUCUGUGCCUAGUGAAAUGAGGGAGACAAAGGACAAGACGAUAAAGGGACGUGUGUUCUGCCCCAUAGUCCCCCUUCUGUUGGGCACAAGAAAGAAGCAGUCUUUGACAAGGCACACUGCCAGGAGUUCCAGGCUGUGAAAUUCAGUGGAUGGAACUGAGCAGGGUCCCCUCCAGAGCAGAGAGCCAUGAGAUGGAGCAUGAGGUAUGGAUGAGCAGCUGCCAGGAGAUGACUCAGGAGGGACAGGAGUCCAACUGCUCUAUUCUCCAAUAUAUAGCAAAGGAGGUGACCGCUGAAGAGGGUAGGAGGUUGAUGCUUGACUGACUCCCGGCAGAAGAAUGGAACAGCAUUUGGCACUUCCAGGUUCAUCAGCAACGUCAACCUGGGGUCCAGCUGGCGUAAAUAAGAAGGAUGGAAAGAAAGUAAGAGGAAAGGAGGCCAAAGGGCACGAAGGAGCGUCCAACUCCUGAGAAGCAGCAGAGUGUGCGCACGUAAGUCAGCUUGGCUUACAAAGGAAAACAACGGCAACUUCGCCCUCCUGUUCUUUGAGUUUCUACCCAAAACUCAUCAAAAUUAUCAAGUGGAAACCUUCUUGAAAAAGUUACAUACUGUUGCUGCGCUUCAGCUCUCUUCCCCAGAGGUAUUAACUGAGAUUAUAGCAUCCACAGAGCGAAAAUUGGAGACUCAGCUUUUGACCUUUUUCAAGAGGAUUAAGGUAGAAUUUGUUUUCUCAAACAAGCUUUUAUGUGUAUGUAUGUGUGUGCAAGUAUAUAUGUACUUUGUGUGUGUGUAUAUAUAUAUAUAUACAUGUAUACACGUAUGUAUAUGUAUAUCUUUACAUGUAGAUAAAUUGUGCAUCUCUUCUUUCCACCCUAACAGCUAAAACGUAAUGAACCAAUCUGCUGUGGACUAACAAAUUUAGGGCUUGUAUAUUCCACACACUCUGGUUUUAGUGCUUCUUGGUAUCCAACCAUAAUUUCAGAUGAGCUUUAAUUUUAUAAAAAUGCAGUUGCUAUUUCCCUUUGGCUCUGGCCUCUGGUGAUAAAAUGCAAAGAAUCAACGCAUUGUUUCCU
rnacentral:lncRNA from 1 species